GAAAAAAAAAAAUCCUAUAUAUUUCGUUUACGCUCAUGCCUUCCACGAGUAGAGCACGUGCCCAGCCUUGUCAUUUCUCUGAGUACGGACGGCUUGCUCGCCACGCGCAGGGGCUCGUUUUCUCGCGAGACCAAUACGCUAGGAAUUGUAGCUGUUGCUCUCUUCUACACUUUUUUCUCUCUGUCAUCGCAGCAGCCGUCGCCAUGGCCUCCGGGAUCCAUCGAAGCCAGGUCGAUCUCGUAGAUUUCGUCGAUUGGAGGGGAGUCGAAUGUCUCAACCAGAGUUCUGCGCACGUUAUCGAUAACGCCCUCAAGCAGGGUUAUCGGGAUGACGAUGGGCUGCACCUUGAGAGUGACGCCGACGAGCAACUUCUCAUCUAUAUCCCCUUUACCCAGGUGGUUAAACUACAUUCGGUCGUGAUCAAGGGCCCGGAAGAGGAAGGUCCUAGGACACUGAAGCUCUUUGCUAACAAAGAGAACAUGGGAUUUAGUAAUGUCAAUGACUACCCACCUAGUGACUCAUUAAUUCUGUCGCAGGAUGAUUUGAAGGAAAAACCUAUUAGUUUGAAGUAUGUAAAGUUUCAGAAUGUUCGUAGCUUGACAAUUUUCAUUGAAGACAAUCAAGGUGGUAAUGACAUCUCAAAGGUUCAGAAGAUAGCCCUCUAUGGAACUACGGUAGACACCACCAAUAUGAAGGAGUUGAAGAAGAUAGAAGAGCACUGAGAGGUAGCUGCCUAAUUCAUUAUAACCAGGGCAUGAAGAUUGCAGAGGGUGGGUCAUGCUGUUGAAAAAAACUAUAUCCAUUAGUGGUGACAAUGAUGUGGCGGGUUUCUGCUCUCAUUCAUGACGGCUUGGCUUGUUGUCAACCACUAACGGAUAGUGUGGGCUUCAUCUGUGUGGCUUGGUGUUUAUUCCUCCUCUAGAUGGUCCUUGCCUACGUUUUGGGCCGUUGCAUUUGAUCCACCUUUAACUGAGCCCGGCUGGUUUAUUAA